GACGGAGGAUGCAAGUGUUAUCCGGAAUCACGUGGCGUAAAGCGUCUGUAGGUUGUUUAAAAAGUCUGCAGUUAAAGGUUGAAGCUUAACUUCAAAAAUGCCGUAGAAACUUUUAAACUAGAGGAUGGUAGGGGUAGAGGGAAUUUCCAGUGGAGCGGUGAAAUGUGUAGAUAUUGGAAAGACCACCGAUGGCGAAGGCACUCUACUGGGCCAUGACUGACACUGAGAGACGAAAGCUAGGGGAGCAAAUGGG
rnacentral:rRNA from 1 species